AACUAAUCUCAUUCAUUUCCAGUUAAAUCAGCAGAAAUAAUUUUCCUUAGUGAUACUGCAGAUAGGCCUUGGUUCUCCAUCUAUAAAGAUGUCUUUAUCCUCUCUGUCUCUCUGUCCUCUUUGUCUUCCCUGAGGAUGGAGAAAAUAUUCAAGAGGCUUUUCUCAGUGAUAUUAGGACAGUUCUUGGUUUCCACUUUAUUCUUUUGGGGUUUUGUACUGGGCUCAUGACCGAAACACCAGAGUGACAUGCAGUAGAGCAUGGAGCAGCACAAGGAACAGCUGGUGUAUUAGGGCAGAGCAGAGGACCUGUUAGUAUACAGUAACAGGAUGCAGCACAGAGCAGAUGAUCUCCAGGAGCUGUGGCACUCCUUGCACCAUGAGGCCCCUGGCUCACAGAAGCAGAGGCAUUACACUCACUAGCUCUAGUAUGAGGAACAGCCCCACUACAGCAGCUGAGGCUUCACAGCUCAGCACUUACCUACAAUUUUAGGCAAAGCAGUGGAAAA